CUGAACACAGAACGUUCAUCUUAUUUAACAUGGAUAGUUACUUCCUACUUAUUUUCAUCCUGGUAACAGGUUUGGUUUUUGGAAACAAUAUCUAUCCAGAUAAAGAGACCAAAGUCAUCACCAAUGAAGAAGACACUGUCAGACUGAGCUGUUCAUAUGACACCAGCAGCAGUCGUGUUUAUCUUUACUGGUACAGACAGUAUCCAAACAGAGAACCUCAGUAUAUAUUGUGGAAGGGGGCUCGAUCGUAUGGUGGUGAAAACACCUUUGACCAACGGUUUCAAUCAGAAGCAUCUCAAACAGCCACUGAACUCAUUAUUAAGAGUGUUUCUCUGUCAGAUUCAGCUCUAUAUUACUGUGCUCUGAGAGAUGAAGCCCAGUGA